rnacentral:misc_RNA from 1 species
GAUGAAGAACGCAGCGAAAUGCGAUACGUAAUGUGAAUUGCAGAAUUCAGUGAAUCAUCGAAUCUUUGAACGCACAUUGCGCCCGCCAGCACUCUGGCGGGCAUGCCUGUUCGAGCGUCAUUUCAACCAUCAAGCCCCAGGCUUGCGUUGGAGCCCUGCGGCUGCCGCAGCCUCCUAAAAGCAGUGGCGGGCUCGCUGUCACACCGGGCGUAGUAGAUUUUAUCUCGCUCAGGGCGUGCUGCGGGUUCCGGCCGUUAAAAAGCCUUUUUUACCCAAGGUUGACCUCGGAUCAGGUAGGAAGACCCGCUGAACUUAAGCAUAUCAAUAAGCGGAGGA